AGAUAUAGUAGAAUUGCCAUGCAAAACUAAUGCAGACACUACAACUGCAGAACUAAUUGUAGAACCUGCUAAUAAACUCAUGAAGAAAUUAAAAGAUACAAAUGUAUUAGAAAGAGAAGAACUUGUAUUAGAAGUAGAACUAAUGGAUA